rnacentral:rRNA from 1 species
CCUACGGGUGGCUGCAGUGGGGAAUUUUCCGCAAUGGGCGAAAGCCUGACGGAGCAAGACCGCGUGAGGGAGGAAGGCCUUUGGGUUGUAAACCUCUUUUCUCAGGGAAGAAGAAAGUGACGGUACCUGAGGAAUCAGCCUCGGCUAACUCCGUGCCAGCAGCCGCGGUAAUACGGAGGAGGCAAGCGUUAUCCGGAAUUAUUGGGCGUAAAGCGUCCGUAGGUGGCUUUCUCAAGUCUGCGGUCAAAGACUGGGGCUUAACUCCAGAAAGGCCG